CACUGAGUACGAGUUUGAUCAUGGCCAGGACGAACGCUGGCGGCGUGCCUAACACAUGCAAGUCGAGCGGGGAGGAGGAAGCUUGCUUCCGAAUCCUAGCGGCGGACGGGUGAGUAACGCGUGAGCAACCUGCCUUGAACUGGGGGAUAACGCAUCGAAAGAUGUGCUAAUACCGCGUAAGACCACAGUACCGCAUGGUACAGAGGUCAAAGGAGCAAUCCGGUUUAAGAUGGGCUCGCGUCCGAUUAGCUAGUUGGUGAGAUAACAGCCCACCAAGGCAACGAUCGGUAGCCGACCUGAGAGGGUGAUCGGCCACAUUGGAACUGAGACACGGUCCAGACUCCUACGGGAGGCAGCAGUGGGGAAUAUUGGGCAAUGGGCGAAAGCCUGACCCAGCAACGCCGCGUGAGGGAAGAAGGGUUUCGGCUCGUAAACCUCUGUCCUAUGGGACGAAGAAGUGACGGUACCAUAGGAGGAAGCCCCGGCUAACUACGUG
rnacentral:rRNA from 1 species